CCCCCGGCCUGGCCCCGCCCCCCGGUGCUCUGGAAACGCUGUCCCCGACAGGUGGAGACGAGCGCUUUGGUUCCGAGGCCGCGACAGCUUUUUCCCACGACACCGCUUGGUAGUUGACAGGCUCCCGAGACUCUUGGAGCUGUUCCUGUGCGUUUGCAAAUUAGAAAGAAAACCAAUGCUUAAGUGGGGGUGACUUGAGUUUUCACCGGAGCCUGUCACAGAGUUGCCAAGAAGCAAGUGGCCGGACCUCAAAGUCACACAGUGACUCUUGGACCUACGCGGUUAUCACCAAAAUGAGAUUUCAAGCACACUGUCAUAUUGGGAGUUGGUGAUGGACAGGGAGGCCUGGCGUGCUGCAAUUCAUGGGGUUGCAAAGAGUUGGACACGACUGAGCGACUGAACUGAACUGAAUGAUAUAUGAAGUUGAGCAUCUUUUCAUGUUUUUUGCCAUCUAUAUGUCACCUUUGGUGAGAUAUCUGUUGGAAUCUUUUGCUCAUUUUUAAAUUGAGUUGUUCAUUUUAAAUUGAGUUGUUGAGCUCUAAGAAUUCUUUUAAAAUUUUAGAUAACAGUCCACUCUCGAAUAUGUCUUUUGUAAAUAUUCUCCCCCAGUCUGUGGCUCAUCUGCUCAUUCUUUUCAUAUGUAUUUUUUGUAUAUGAUAGUAAAUGAAAGUUUAGAAUCCUGAGACAGGUAUAAAUUAGGAAUAUUUUUUUCCCUUAAGGGAAAAGAUCUUUUAUUUUUACUCAAAAUAUUCUUUGGUAUCCAACAUCUAUUUUCUGCACUCAUUCCCUAAUUUUCUGAUUGCAAGGCUUCUCUCCCUCAUUGUUAAACCCUUUCAAAGAUAUGAACAGAGAUUUUUGGCCAUUUGUCACCCGAUUUAUGAGAAG